ensembl:miRNA
AAACAUUUUCUAUUAGGUAGGUGCAAAUAAAAUUGUGUUUUUACCCUUUAAAAGUAAUGGCAAAAACCGCAAUUACUUUUGCACCAACCUAAUA